AAAUUUAUGCAUUAAUUUACAACACAAGGAGGACAGGAAUAGUUAGUAAACAGCAAUCUUAACUACCAGACGACAUAUUUACAAAGUCCUACAAUUUAAAAACUAAAAGAUCUCACACUCCUAAUUCUUUCUUUUCAAGGUGAGAAAUCAAACCUCCAGAGGGAAACUGGCUGGGUGGGAAUGAUACUGAUACCCGGCGCUAAACUCAAGUCGCAGCAUCAAGCAUCUCUCAUUUCCCCAAAUUAUAAACUUCUCACCCAUCCAAACAAUGAUAUGGCCAUUUAAAGGACUAAUAGUUCUCUAACCACCAACCAUGCCCUGUCCCCUCCACUUUCUCUCCAACAUCCUUCUGCCCCUUCUCUUCCUACCAGGAGACAUGCAGGUAACAGAAGCACGAUUAGAAUGAAACUCUUAUCAGCUCCCACAAUCAAGGACGCAGCCUGACAACUGCUCACGUUCAUUACUGAUGGCAACGUUGCGGUUCGCACUUAAUCGCCGGGCCAUUACACCCGGAAAUGAAAUCUCAAGCGCAACGCACUUCGGACCCCCUUAUCAUUUCCCUAAAUUGCGCCCGACUGCGUGUGCGGGGGGCACGACCCCGAGCGCACAGCGGACCCCCGGGCAGGAUUACCCCACCUCCCGCCUCGGGCCUGCAGGUCACUCGCGCUUCUUGGCCACGAGGCGGGCCCGCGAUCCUCCCCGGGCCGCCGCAGCGGGCGCUCGGCGGGACGCGAGGGCGGCACCGGGGCCAGCCGCCUCCGGGGACCGCGUCCGGACGCGAGGGUCGGUCUCUAGAAGGAGCCCGGGCGGCCCCACGCGUCCCCAGCUAAAUCGCUGUCCUCGUCCAGGAUGGUCUUCCAUGGAUAAAUCAGCCGCUGUGUGACUUCCGGUGGGUGCUGUGCCGCCAUCUUGGCCCACCUGACUUCAGCACAUAAUGUGGGGGAGAGCAGCUUUCAGCAUCUCCAGUUAUAAAAUGUACCAAAUAUUGACAUAAUUACACAGAAAUAAAUAUAGGGUGCUCAAUGAAAAGCUAAGUCCUGGAGAAACUUACAAGGCAAGUGAAAAUAAUCUGACCCUUCAAGUCUUUGCCCUCCUCCAUACACAGACACAGACUGGCAAUUCACAAGUAAAUGCAAGGUUUUCAACAUCCAGCAGUUGGAGUAAUGAAAAAAAAAGCCAGAAGUAAAACACUAUACAGUGCCUUUCCUUGUCCUUUUUUAAACUCAAAAGAGGCCCAAGCAACAACAUUCUCCUUCUGAGUUGAAACCAACAGAGGCCGAGGCUGCCGCGGGACAGUGCUCCUUUCAUGAACUGAGUGAAGACUGGGCUUAUUCAUAGAAGUCGCUGGACAGGUAGACCACACCCUCUCUGGGCUGCUGCUUGUGAACCCGUGGCUAGGCUGGGCCUGGGUGGGAUCACUGACCUCCAGAGGGCAAUAUGGGGUCUGCUUCUGAAGCGGCCUUCCUCUGUGGGAGCACGCUGAGGAGGAAGCUUCAAUGUCAAGUAUGAUCUGUCGCUCUGGAGAGUCAGGCUGUCAGCUCGCCUUUCCUGAGCUGCUGCCGCGUGCCGGGCCUGGGAACAAUACAGGGCAGUCAUGUGGGGAGACAGACACGUACACCCGGAAUCACAAGACGGGCUUUUCAUGCCGCUCGCUCACGUGACGAACACCCACCUCCCCGCGUUUGUGGCAGUUCUACAAUUCCAGUAGAGGAGAGUUUUAGGGGAGCCCAUCUGGUUGGAAGGCGUAGCCAUGGAACUGGAUGGAGCAGUUUCUUCUUAGAUCGUACACUGCACGGUAAUAAAUAUAGCAAAGUUUUCCAAAGAUGCUUUUAUUCAUGUACGUAAGGUUGAAAAAAUGUUGGUUUUCCAUAUUGCAUAUUUCACCCAGUUUAAAAAUCUUUUCUUUAUUUUAUUAUUACAGGGGGAGGUAGGGGAAGCACUGGUGGAGAUUGUAGGAGGCAUCUAAAGACCCCCAAACCCCCUCUUGGGCUGCCUCUAGCCGGGCCUUGCAUUAGGCACAAAAGGAUGGCACCCAACACUGUCCCCAUGGUGGAGGAGGUUACAGUGUUGUGGCGAGUCACUGUGCAAAUAAAAAAGGCAAUACAGGGUAACGAGCGCUGCUCAUUAAUCGUUUACUGGAUGAUUCUUUCAUUGUUUAUUGAGUACUUACUGGAACCAGCUACAGUGCUGGGCCCUGAGGGUACAAGAGUCCUCGUUCCUUGAACUCAUAAGGCAGGGAGAUCCUAGGAGUAGAGUUGCCUGAUAAAAUACAGAUACUCACUUAAAUUUGAAUUUCAGAUAAACAAGGCACAAUUUUUUAGUAUAAGGAUGUCUCAUGCAAUAUGUUGAUUUG
rnacentral:lncRNA from 1 species